UCUAGUGAUGAUGGCAAAGAGGUCACACCUGUUCCCAUGCCGAACACAGUAGUUAAGCUCUUUAGCGCCGAUGGUAGUUGGGGGAUUCCCCCUGUGAGAGUAGGACGUUGCUAGGC
rnacentral:rRNA from 1 species